GAUGAAGAACGUAGCGAAAUGCGAUAAGUAGUGUGAAUUGCAGAAUUCAGUGAAUCAUCGAAUCUUUGAACGCACAUUGCGCCCUCUGGUAUUCCGGGGGGCAUGCCUGUCCGAGCGUCAUUACAACCCUCAAGCUCAGCUUGGUGUUGGGCCCCGCCGCCCCGGCGGGCCCUAAAGUCAGUGGCGGUGCCGUCCGGCUCCGAGCGUAGUAAUUCUUCUCGCUCUGGAGGUCCGGUCGUGUGCUCGCCAGCAACCCCCAAUUUUUUUCAGGUUGACCUCGGAUCAGGUAGGGAUACCCGCUGAACUUAAGCAUAUCAAUAAGCGGAGGA
rnacentral:misc_RNA from 1 species